ACAGCUUGGAGGCAAAUUUUAUUAAGUAUCAGGUAGCUGACCCAGAGCAGUAUAAAUAGCGAGAGAGCAUAUGACAAACCCAGAAAUGAGUGUGGCUAAACCCCAGGCUGAAGACGUAGAACGUGUUUACUGUUGUCAGCACCUCCGCGGGGAUGUUAGCCUGGCAGCCAGCCAGGAAAGGAGUUUAACCAUAGAAGGGGAGGUAAACCAUACAGUGUAAACCGUGCCUCGGCGACGUCGACCAGACCACAGAUGACGGAGUUAGGAAAGGCCAUGAGCUUUCCAAGAACCAAGACAAAAAGGACCACAUGCCAGAGUAAUCAUGAGAGGCUGAAGCAGUCAAGAAAUUCUUCAGAGGUGUGGGGCAUGGAUGAGACCCCGGCUGCUUCCCCCAGACUCCAUCUCACUCCCCACAAAGACUGUUGGCUCCUUACCCAGUAUUCAUUCUGCAUUUCUUCCUUGGUAAAACAACUCCAACGUGGCAAUGUGCCUGGCUAAAAGCCCACAUUUCCUUGUCUCCCUUGCAGUAGGGGUGGCUAAUGAGAUCUAAGGAGGUGUUGCUGAGUGGUCAGGGUUGCCAGAUAAAAUACAAGAUGCCCAGUUACAUUUGAAUUUCAGUUAACAGUAAAAAUUUGUAAUUGUAAGAAUACAUAUAACUAUGUCAUAUGUAAAAUAUUUGUAUUUGUAUUUGCCAAAUCUGGCAACUCUAUGCACAAAGCUUCUAAGGAGCCAGGUAGACACUCCUUUUCUCUCUUUCUCUUUUUUCCUGGGACAUGGAUGGGAUAGCUGGGGCUUCAGCAACCAUCUUGGGUCAUGAGGUUAAGGAUGGCAGAGCAUACAUACAGAGGACUUGGGUCCCUAAUGACUAUAUAACUUCAGGCUUUUUUAUAUGGAAGAAUAACCAUUAAUUUGCUUUAGCUGCUAGAUGCGUCUCUGUGAUUUGCAUUCAAUUGUUAUUCCUAACUUAUAGCCAUAAUAAAGAGUGCAUUGUUAUUUUGGGUAUUUGAUUAAGUCUGUUUACCAUGUGUCAUUUUGCCUUUGCCUCUGACAUAUCAUAAACCACUCUACUUUUGCUCACUAUAUUUUUUAAGGACCUCAAGAUGGGUGGACAGUGUUCCCUACGUCCUUUGAAAUGACAGCCCUUAACGUGAGCUUCCAUGUGGUGCUAUUACCUGACUAUUUUGCAAAUGGCAUUUAGGUGUUUUGAGUAACUGCUUUAGAUAAUUCAUAGUAAUGACACCUAUAAAACAAAACAGCUCUUAUCUCUGCACAAAGAUUUGGCCUGAAAACUCAAUGAAUUGAUGUUCUGAAACCCCAGAACCAUACAACAAAACAGUUUUGAUAGCUUCCCGUAUAUGCUGGAAAGAUUAGCUAAGGACAGUCAUGUGCACAGGAAAAGCUAAUCUGCAAGGCACCAUCAAUAAUUCAGGAAUGAUGUAAGAUCUACCUCCUUCAGCCUUGCCAGCAAGUCGACUGCUUUGAAUGACCACGGCGAGGCAUUCUGGGAAAUGGAAGGGGUCAUAGAAUUGGCCUCUCUGCAUAUAAGCCCAAGCUAACUGGCUUAGCACAGCUGGUUAUGUAGGGAAAGAGAAGUUACCUGGGCUAUGACCUGUAUAAAUACCUGCCCUCCCCUUUUGCAGUGGAAUCUUUUCGAAGGUUAAGCAAC
ensembl:lincRNA